AUUUAGUAGAAAAAAUUCUAAACAAGCUACGAAACUACUGCUUCUAUUAUUUCUAGAACAGAAAUACCUUUGCAAAUAGCACAGAUUAAACGUAUUUGUGUUUUUUAAUUAAUGGCGAAGCACAGAGCGAACCACCGUGACAUAAAUCACAAAAUCAACAACUAACGCAAAACGGUAUAAAAAAUAAAGUUAUGGGGGCAGCAAUACGGAUUUUGAUUUAUUGGCUGCUGGCGUGACUCUCUAUCUGAACAACCCAGCCCCCGGAAUGGGAUGGGUUGGGAUGGGGUGUGAGCCCCUAGCCAAACCCUCCUAAGUAGACAGCUCAAAGGCCUAAACGAAGCGAAACCAACAAGAAGAACAUGCGAAAACAAAAACACACGGAGUGGAACCAAAGCGAAGCCAAACAAUGGCGAGCAUUUUGAUUUGUGACUUGCGACUUUUCACGUAGCAUCCUCGCACACGCACACGCACCGGGAAAUCUCCAUAAAAAAUAUGAAAAUAAAAAUCACGCAACAGGA